UACGUAGGGUGCGAGCGUUGUCCGGAAUUAUUGGGCGUAAAGAGCUUGUAGGCGGUUUGUCGCGUCUGCUGUGAAAAUCCGGGGCUCAACCCCGGACUUGCAGUGGGUACGGGCAGACUAGAGUGUGGUAGGGGAGACUGGAAUUCCUGGUGUAGCGGUGGAAUGCGCAGAUAUCAGGAGGAACACCGAUGGCGAAGGCAGGUCUCUGGGCCACUACUGACGCUGGAGGAGCGAAAGCGUGGGGAGCGAACAGG
rnacentral:rRNA from 1 species